UACGUAGGGCGCAAGCGUUGUCCGGAGUUAUUGGGCGUAAAGAGCUCGUAGGCGGCGCCGCAAGUCGAGUGUGAAAGCCCCGGGCUCAACCUGGGAGGUGCGCUCGAGACUGUGGUGCUGGAGUUCGGGAGAGGAGCGUGGAAUUCCCAGUGUAGAGGUGAAAUUCGUAGAUAUUGGGAAGAACAUCGGUGGCGAAGGCGGCAUCCUGGACCGGUAUUGACGCUGAGGCGCGAAAGCCAGGGGAGCAAACGGG
rnacentral:rRNA from 1 species